UGGGGAAUAUUGGGCAAUGGGGGAAACCCUGACCCAGCGACGCCGCGUGAGGGAAGAAGGUCUUCGGAUUGUAAACCUUUGUUGUAAGGGACGAAACAAAUGACGGUACCUUACGAGGAAGCCACGGCUAACUACGUGCCAGCAGCCGCGGUAAUACGUAGGUGGCGAGCGUUAUCCGGAUUUACUGGGUGUAAAGGGUGUGUAGGCGGGGAAGCAAGUCAGAUGUGAAAAUUAUGGGCUCAACUCAUAACCUGCGUCUGAAACUGUUUUUCUUGAGUGUCGGAGAGGUAAGUGGAAUUCCCGGUGUAGCGGUGAAAUGCGUAGAUAUCGGGAGGAACAUCGGUGGCGAAGGCGACUUACUGGACGAUAACUGACGCUGAGACACGAAAGUGUGGGGAGCAAACAGG
rnacentral:rRNA from 2 species